UACGGAGGGGACUAGCGUUGUUCGGAAUUACUGGGCGUAAAGCGCACGUAGGCGGAUUUGUAAGUCAGGGGUGAAAUCCCGGGGCUCAACCUCGGAACUGCCUUUGAUACUGCAAAUCUCGAGUCCGGAAGAGGUGAGUGGAAUUCCUAGUGUAGAGGUGAAAUUCGUAGAUAUUCGCAAGAACACCAGUGGCGAAGGCGGCUCACUGGCCCGUAACUGACGCUGAGGCACGAAAGCGUGGGGAGCAAACAGG
rnacentral:rRNA from 1 species